rfam:Gossypium arboreum cultivar AKA8401 contig_7402_1, whole genome shotgun sequence.
UAUUAAAAAAUUCAUCAUUUUGUAUGGUUAAAAACUGACCUGGCUGAUAGGAUAACUAGAUAAUGACAUUUUGUGUACCACGUAUAUCACAUACUGGCGUACAAUGAUUAUUUUCUUAAUAAUAAAAAUGAAUGAAAAUUUUAACA